AUACGGAGGAUCCGAGCGUUAUCCGGAUUUAUUGGGUUUAAAGGGAGCGUAGGCGGACGCUUAAGUCAGUUGUGAAAGUUUGCGGCUCAACCGUAAAAUUGCAGUUGAUACUGGGUGUCUUGAGUACAGUAGAGGCAGGCGGAAUUCGGGGUGUAGCGGUGAAAUGCUUAGAUAUCACGAAGAACUCCGAUUGCGAAGGCAGCCUGCUGGACUGUAACUGACGCUGAUGCUCGAAAGUGUGGGUAUCAAACAGGAUUAGAUACCCUGGUAGUCCACACAGUAAACGAUGAAUACUCGCUGUUUGCGAUAUACAGUAAGCGGCCAAGCGAAAGCGUUAAGUAUUCCACCUGGGGAGUACGCCGGCAACGGUGAAACUCAAAUGAAUUGACGGGG
rnacentral:rRNA from 1 species